rnacentral:rRNA from 1 species
AACGAACGCUGGCGGCAUGCCUAACACAUGCAAGUCGAACGAAGCCUUCGGGCUUAGUGGCGCACGGGUGCGUAACGCGUGGGAAUCUGCCCCUCGGUUCGGAAUAACAGUUAGAAAUGACUGCUAAUACCGCAUAAGCCCUGAGGGGGAAAGUGGGGGACCGCAAGGCCUCACGCGAAUGGAGCGGCCGAUGUCAGAUUAGCUAGUUGGUGGGGUAAAGGCUCACCAAGGCGACGAUCUGUAGCGGGUCUGAGAGGAUGAUCCGCCACACUGGGACUGAGACACGGCCCAGACUCCUACGGGAGGCAGCAGUGGGGAAUUUUGGACAAUGGGCGCAAGCCUGAUCCAGCCAUGCCGCGUGCGGGACGAAGGCCUUCGGGUUGUAAACCGCUUUCAGCCGGAAAGAAAUCGCUGUUUUUAAUACGGACAGUGGAUGACGGUACCGGAAGAAGAAGCACCGGCUAACUACGUG